AGUGAACGCUGGCGGUAGGCCUAACACAUGCAAGUCGAACGGCAGCACAGUAAGAGCUUGCUCUUACGGGUGGCGAGUGGCGGACGGGUGAGGAGUACAUCGGAAUCUACUUUUUCGUGGGGGAUAACGUAGGGAAACUUACGCUAAUACCGCAUACGACCUACGGGUGAAAGCAGGGGAUCUUCGGACCUUGCGCGAUUGAAUGAGCCGAUGUCGGAUUAGCUAGUUGGCGGGGUAAAGGCCCACCAAGGCGACGAUCCGUAGCUGGUCUGAGAGGAUGAUCAGCCACACUGGAACUGAGACACGGUCCAGACUCCUACGGGAGGCAGCAGUGGGGAAUAUUGGACAAUGGGCGCAAGCCUGAUCCAGCCAUACCGCAUGGGUGAAGAAGGCCUUCGGGUUGUAAAGCCCUUUUGUUGGGAAAGAAAAGCAGCAGGUUAAUACCCCGCUGUUCUGACGGUACCCAAAGAAUAAGCACCGGCUAACUUCGUG
rnacentral:rRNA from 1 species